UUUUUACAGUUGGCCACCAUCAUUAGCUGGUGUUCUUCUAGCAGUUGGACAUCAUCACUAGGUGGCGUUCUUUUUACAUUUGGACGUUAACACAAGACGGAUGUUUGAUCAUGUAGAAAACAAGAUUAUUUUUGUAUUAAGGAGCAUAGAAAAGGGGCAAAUUAAUUGGAACCUUUUUCCUUUUACAACUUGUAUGCCCUCAUUAUGCUGUUAAAUAAUUUUAUAGUUUUUAGAGUUUGCACUCAACUAAAUUUCUGAAGGAUGCUCCAACGGUCAAUUCCAUGAACCGUUGUUCACCAAA